rnacentral:rRNA from 1 species
UUCCUACGGGAGGCAGCAGUGAGGAAUAUUGGUCAAUGGGCUUACGCCUGAACCAGCCAAGUCGCGUGAGGGAAGACUGCCCUAUGGGUUGUAAACCUCUUUUGCCGGGGAGCAAAAAGCGGUACGUGUACCGCAUCGAGAGUACCCGGAGAAAAAGCAUCGGCUAACUCCGUGCCAGCAGCCGCGGUAAUACGGAGGAUGCGAGCGUUAUCCGGAUUUAUUGGGUUUAAAGGGUGCGCAGGCGGCGAGUUAAGUCAGCGGUAAAAUUUCGGGGCUCAACCCCGACGAGCCGUUGAAACUGGCUU